CAGCACCCCAAGUGGUCAGGAUGAUUAUUGGGCCUAAAGCAUCCGUAGCCGGCGCUGUAAGUUUUCGGUUAAAUCUGUACGCUCAACGUACAGGCUGCCGGGAAUACUGCAGCGCUAGGGAGUGGGAGAGGUAGACGGUACUCGGUAGGAAGGGGUAAAAUCCUUUGAUCUAUUGAUGACCACCUGUGGCGAAGGCGGUCUACCAGAACACGUCCGACGGUGAGGGAUGAAAGCUGGGGGAGCAAACCGGAUUAGAUACCCGAGUAGUCC
rnacentral:rRNA from 1 species